rnacentral:rRNA from 1 species
GUCGAGCGGACCUCUUCGGAGGUUAGCGGCGGACGGGUGAGUAACACGUGGGCAACCUGCCUGUAAGACUGGGAUAACUCCGGGAAACCGGAGCUAAUACCGGAUAGUAUCUUGAACCGCAUGGUUCAAGUUGGAAAGACGGUUUCGGCUGUCACUUACAGAUGGGCCCGCGGCGCAUUAGCUAGUUGGUGAGGUAAUGGCUCACCAAGGCAAC